CCCACACAAGGGGUGUCCGUCCCACACGAGGGUGUCUGUCCCCCCUCCCCGCUCCCGGGGCUCUGUCCCUGCUGUCCCGCAUUCCCUGGCACGCGGCUCGGCGCUGUCGGCCGGACACGCCGCAGCUGCCGGGGCUGCGGAGGGAUCAAAGCCCGGCCGGGGGGGCCGGGGGUGUUUACACGGACGCGGUGUUCAGAGCAGCCCCUCCCUCUUGUUUUCCCCGCCAGCGCAGCGAGGUUUGAGGGGGGGUCACUGUGACUCCUCUUCCCACCCCCAUGCAUGGGGAUGGGGGCUCAGCCAUGGGAGGGGCUCUGGGAAGGAAUGGGGGGAGCAAUGACUCUGUCAGUCUGUCCCUGAGGCCAUUCGGGGUCCCUGUGUCCCCUUCCAGCUCUGGAGAUGAGGCUGACCCCAUUAUUUGGGGGUGUCAGGGUGUGACAAACUCUGGGGAAGCAGCUCCGGUGUCCCCCAAGUGUCCCCUCCCCAGGGCACCCACCAAAAUGAGUUGGAGGGGUUUGGGGGGUUGGACCUACCCACCCACGAGCCCCCUUUGUGCCCCCCAGGCUGCUGGUGGGGGCCCCCCAGGACGCGGAGCCGGUGAACGGGACACGGACGGGCGCCGUGUACGCCUGUCCCCUGAGUGCCACCACCCGCGACUGCCAGCGCCUGGCCAUCGAGCUCAAGGAUGAGCCGGACAAGGCCAUCAUCGAGGACAUGUGGCUGGGGGUGACAGUGGCCAGCCAGCGGCAGCCACCGGGGAGGGUCCUGGCCUGUGCCCACCACUACACG